UCGCAGACGCCAAACUGCCGGACAUGCAGGCGGGUUGGGAACAAAUGUGCUCUAACGUGAUGGCGGGCCUAUCCGGCCUCAACAUGGUCUACGAAUCCG
rfam:Thalassobium sp. R2A62 genomic scaffold scf_1112329232034, whole genome shotgun sequence.